rnacentral:rRNA from 1 species
AUUGAACGCUGGCGGCAUGCCUUACACAUGCAUGUCGAACGGUAACAGGUCUUCGGAUGCUGACGAGUGGCGAACGGGUGAGUAAUACAUCGGAACGUGCCUAGUAGUGGGGGAUAACUACUCGAAAGAGUGGCUAAUACCGCAUGAGAUCUACGGAUGAAAGCAGGGGAUCGCAAGACCUUGUGCUACUAGAGCGGCCGAUGGCAGAUUAGGUAGUUGGUGGGAUAAAAGCUUACCAAGCCGACGAUCUGUAGCUGGUCUGAGAGGACGAUCAGCCACACUGGGACUGCGACACGGCCCAGACUCCUACGGGAGGCAGCAGUGGGGAAUUUUGGACAAUGGGCGCAAGCCUGAUCCAGCAAUGCCGCGUGCAGGAUGAAGGCCUUCGGGUUGUAAACUGCUUUUGUACGGAACGAAAAGCCCUGGGUUAAUACCCUGGGGUCAUGACGGUACCGUAAGAAUAAGCACCGGCUAACUACGUGCCAGCAGCCGCCGUAAUAC